rnacentral:lncRNA from 1 species
AGUGUUUUUUGGGGAAGAUUUUAUUUAAUUUCUCUGUUUUCUUUAAAGGGGAAAGGAAUGGUGAGUUGAUGUGAAUUGAGAGUAUGUAUUUUUGCGUUGACAUUUUGCACACUGUAGACUGAAAUGCAUUGUAUAUAAUUUUUGCUGUAAUUAUUUUCAUGCUGUAACUGUUCAAUCUUCCUAUUUAUAAUGAGAAGUCUGCAUUUGAUUUGCUUGUGGUAUUUGUCACUGUCCUGGUUUAACCCUGAUUGGCAACCAAGCCCCAUGCAGCCUCUUGCUCACUGGUGGGACGGGGCACAGAAGCAGAAGAGUGAAAAUGGGAAAACUUGUGGGUUGAGAUAAAGAUAGUUACACAGGUAAAGCAAACCAAGGAAUUCAUUCACCACUGCCAAGAGGCAGGCAGGUGUUCAUCCUCUCCAGGAGAGCAGGGUUCCAUCAUGUGUCACACUGACUUGGGAAGACAAAUGCCCAAUGUUCCCCCCUUCCUUGUUCUUCCCCAGCUUUAUAUGCUGAGCAUGAUGUCCUAUGAUAUGGGAUAUCCCUGGGGUCAGCUGUUCCAGCUGUGUACCCCCCCAGCCUCCUUGCUGGUGAAAUGAGGAGCAGAAGAAGCCUUUACUCUGUGUAAGUGCUGUUCAGUGAUAAAAACAUCCCUAGGUUAUCAAAUCCGCAGUUUCCAGCACAAAUCUAAACCAUUGUCCCAUACAAACUCCUGUGAAGGAAAUUAACUCCAUCCUAGCCAAGCCCAGCACAUUCAUAUCAGAUAAAAUACUGGUUUCCUUUCAAGCUUUAUACUUCUAUACUGCAAAAAUAACAGCUGAAGGGUUAAGCCACCAGUGUCCCGGGCAGACUUGUUCCCAGUUGCAAGCUGAAGGCUUUCGGAUGACACAUAAUGCCUGUUUGAGUCAGUAAUGUGUUACUGCCUGUUACACAGUGGAGAAGCAUUUGACUCGGGUUACUGGCACCUGUUAACCCAAGCUCUUGCUUCCAUAAUCUAGAGGAUUGAAAGACUUGAAAUGCUUCUAAACAGUGUUUGGUUUAAGAUGUGUGGUUUGCUUUAAGUGUAAACAUAAUAAAGUGAUCUAAUACAUGCACUG